rnacentral:rRNA from 1 species
UGGGGAAUAUUGGACAAUGGGGGGAACCCUGAUCCAGCCAUGCCGCGUGUGUGAAGAAGGCCUUAUGGUUGUAAAGCACUUUAAGCGAGGAGGAGGCUCUCUUGGUUAAUACCCAAGAUGAGUGGACGUUACUCGCAGAAUAAGCACCGGCUAACUCUGUGCCAGCAGCCGCGGUAAUACAGAGGGUGCGAGCGUUAAUCGGAUUUACUGGGCGUAAAGCGUGCGUAGGCGGCUUUUUAAGUCGGAUGUGAAAUCCCCGAGCUUAACUUGGGAAUUGCAUUCGAUACUGGGAAGCUAGAGUAUGUGAGAGGAUGGUAGAAUUCCAGGUGUAGCGGUGAAAUGCGUAGAGAUCUGGAGGAAUACCGAUGGCGAAGGCAGCCAUCUGGCCUAAUACUGACGCUGAGGUACGAAAGCAUGGGGAGCAAACAGG